rnacentral:misc_RNA from 1 species
GAUGAAGAACGCAGCGAAAUGCGAUAAGUAAUGUGAAUUGCAGAAUUCAGUGAAUCAUCGAAUCUUUGAACGCACCUUGCGCUCUUUGGUAUUCCGAAGAGCAUGCCUGUUUGAGUGUCAUGAAAAUAUCAACCUUGACUUGGGUUUUGUGCUCUAGUCUCGGCUUGGAAUUGGGUGCUUGCCGCUUUUACGAGCGGCUCACCUUAAAUGUAUUAGCUGGAUCUGUCUUUGAGACUUGGUUUGACUUGGCGUAAUAAGUAUUUCGCUAAGGACAUUCUUCGGAGUGGCCUCGUUUCUAGGACGCUUGUCCGCUUUCCAAUCCAAGUUCCACCUCGUGGACAUGACUUUUUAUUAUCUGGCCUCAAAUCAGGUAGGACUACCCGCUGAACUUAAGCAUAUCAAUAAGCGGAGGA